rnacentral:rRNA from 1 species
UUAAGCGACUAAGCGUACACGGUGGAUGCCCUGGCAGUCAGAGGCGAUGAAGGACGUGCUAAUCUGCGAAAAGCGCCGGCGAGGUGAUAUGAACCUUUGACCCGGCGAUGUCCGAAUGGGGAAACCCAGUGUGAUUCGUCACACUAUCGUUAACUGAAUACAUAGGUUAACGAGGCGAACCGGGGGAACUGAAACAUCUAAGUACCCCGAGGAAAAGAAAUCAACCGAGAUUCCCCCAGUAGCGGCGAGCGAACGGGGAGCAGCCCAGAGUCUGAAUCAGCUUGUGUGUUAGUGGAAGCGUCUGGAAAGUCGCACGGUACAGGGUGACAGUCCCGUACACGAAAACGCACAGGUUGUGAACUCGAAGAGUAGGGCGGGACACGUGGUAUCCUGUCUGAAUAUGGGGGGACCAUCCUCCAAGGCUAAAUACUCCUGACUGACCGAUAGUGAACCAGUACCGUGAGGGAAAGGCGAAAAGAACCCCGGCGAGGGGAGUGAAACAGAACCUGAAACCGUGUACGUACAAGCAGUGGGAGCACCUUCGGGUGUGACUGCGUACCUUUUGUAUAAUGGGUCAGCGACUUAUAUUCUGUAGCAAGGUUAACCGUAUAGGGGAGCCGAAGGGAAACCGAGUCUUAACUGGGCGUUAAGUUGCAGGGUAUAGACCCGAAACCCGGUGAUCUAGCCAUGGGCAGGUUGAAGGUUGGGUAACACUAACUGGAGGACCGAACCGACUAAUGUUGAAAAAUUAGCGGAUGACUUGUGGCUGGGGGUGAAAGGCCAAUCAAACCGGGAGAUAGCUGGUUCUCCCCGAAAGCUAUUUAGGUAGCGCCUCGUGAACUCAUCUUCGGGGGUAGAGCACUGUUUCGGCUAGGGGGCCAUCCCGGCUUACCAACCCGAUGCAAACUACGAAUACCGAAGAAUGUUAUCACGGGAGACACACGGCGGGUGCUAACGUCCGUCGUGAAGAGGGAAACAACCCAGACCGCCAGCUAAGGUCCCAAAGUCAUGGUUAAGUGGGAAACGAUGUGGGAAGGCACAGACAGCCAGGAUGUUGGCUUAGAAGCAGCCAUCAUUUAAAGAAAGCGUAAUAGCUCACUGGUCGAGUCGGCCUGCGCGGAAGAUGUAACGGGGCUAAACCAUGCACCGAAGCUGCGGCAGCGACGCUUAUGCGUUGUUGGGUAGGGGAGCGUUCUGUAAGCCGUUGAAGGUGGCCUGUGAGGGUUGCUGGAGGUAUCAGAAGUGCGAAUGCUGACAUAAGUAACGAUAAAGCGGGUGAAAAGCCCGCUCGCCGGAAGACCAAGGGUUCCUGUCCAACGUUAAUCGGGGCAGGGUGAGUCGACCCCUAAGGCGAGGCCGAAAGGCGUAGUCGAUGGGAAACAGGUUAAUAUUCCUGUACUUGGUGUUACUGCGAAGGGGGGACGGAGAAGGCUAUGUUAGCCGGGCGACGGUUGUCCCGGUUUAAGCAUGUAGGCGGAACGAUUAGGUAAAUCCGGUCGUUUAUUAACGCUGAGGUGUGAUGACGAGGCACUACGGUGCUGAAGUAACAAAUGCCCUGCUUCCAGGAAAAGCCUCUAAGCAUCAGGUAACAUCAAAUCGUACCCCAAACCGACACAGGUGGUCAGGUAGAGAAUACCAAGGCGCUUGAGAGAACUCGGGUGAAGGAACUAGGCAAAAUGGUGCCGUAACUUCGGGAGAAGGCACGCUGAUAUGUAGGUGAAGCCCCUGCGGGUGGAGCUGAAAUCAGUCGAAGAUACCAGCUGGCUGCAACUGUUUAUUAAAAACACAGCACUGUGCAAACACGAAAGUGGACGUAUACGGUGUGACGCCUGCCCGGUGCCGGAAGGUUAAUUGAUGGGGUUAGCGGCAACGCGAAGCUCUUGAUCGAAGCCCCGGUAAACGGCGGCCGUAACUAUAACGGUCCUAAGGUAGCGAAAUUCCUUGUCGGGUAAGUUCCGACCUGCACGAAUGGCGUAAUGAUGGCCAGGCUGUCUCCACCCGAGACUCAGUGAAAUUGAACUCGCUGUGAAGAUGCAGUGUACCCGCGGCAAGACGGAAAGACCCCGUGAACCUUUACUAUAGCUUGACACUGAACACUGGUCCUUGAUGUGUAGGAUAGGUGGGAGGCUUUGAAGUGUGGACGCCAGUCUGCAUGGAGCCGUCCUUGAAAUACCACCCUUUAAUGGCUGGUGUUCUAACGUAGACCCGUAAUCCGGGUUGCGGACAGUGUCUGGUGGGUAGUUUGACUGGGGCGGUCUCCUCCCAAAGAGUAACGGAGGAGCACGAAGGUUAGCUAAUCCUGGUCGGACAUCAGGAGGUUAGUGCAAUGGCAUAAGCUAGCUUGACUGCGAGAGUGACGGCUCGAGCAGGUGCGAAAGCAGGUCAUAGUGAUCCGGUGGUUCUGAAUGGAAGGGCCAUCGCUCAACGGAUAAAAGGUACUCCGGGGAUAACAGGCUGAUACCGCCCAAGAGUUCAUAUCGACGGCGGUGUUUGGCACCUCGAUGUCGGCUCAUCACAUCCUGGGGCUGAAGUAGGUCCCAAGGGUAUGGCUGUUCGCCAUUUAAAGUGGUACGCGAGCUGGGUUUAGAACGUCGUGAGACAGUUCGGUCCCUAUCUGCCGUGGGCGCUGGAGAAUUGAGGGGGGCUGCUCCUAGUACGAGAGGACCGGAGUGGACGCAUCACUGGUGUUCGGGUUGUCAUGCCAAUGGCACUGCCCGGUAGCUAAAUGCGGAAAAGAUAAGUGCUGAAAGCAUCUAAGCACGAAACUUGCCCCGAGAUGAGUUCUCCCUGAGACUUUAAGUCUCCUGAAGGAACGUUGAAGACGACGACGUUGAUAGGUCGGGUGUGUAAGCGCAGCGAUGCGUUGAGCUAACCGAUACUAAUGAACCGUGAGGCUUAACCUU